rnacentral:lncRNA from 1 species
UUUGACCAAACAAAACUCUGUCUUCUCCGCCGAACACGACCCCGACUCGUCUCUCUCACCCAACUCUCUUGUGUCAACAUCUUUGAUUACUUCUUGAAUCAUCGCCGAUGUCACUCCACUUCGGGGUUUAUCUCAAUUUCGAUCAAAUUUUAAAAGGUAGCUUAUUUUCUCAAUUUAAUUUCAAAAUUGAGUUAUAGAUGAUUACUA